rnacentral:rRNA from 1 species
GACAGAGGGUGCAAACGUUGUUCGGAUUUACUGGGCGUAAAGCGCGUGUAGGCGGCUUUGCAAGUCGGAUGUGAAAGCCCACGGCUCAACCGUGGAAGUGCAUCCGAAACUGCAUGGCUGGAGUCUCGGAGAGGAAGGUGGAAUGCUUGGUGUAGAGGUGAAAUUCGUAGAUAUCAAGCAGAACACCUGCGGCGAAGGCGGCCUUCUGGACGAUGACUGACGUGAGACGCGAAAGCGUGGGGAGCA